AGCACAGACUUGUAUGGGGUCGUGGCCAGGGCUGAUAAAGAGAAGAGGGCAUGCAACAGCUUGCGAGCAAAAACUGUUAAACAUGCAACCUGUCCUUGGUCAAAAGGUCAGUCAAUACAGCACCCAUAUUAACAUGUUAAUAACAAGCAGGAGCAGGAAAACUGUACCCAAGAAAAUGUUCAUCAAAUAACUAUGCCGAUUUUUUUUUAAUAGAACGAAGUUGAAAAAUACGUAGGCGACCUAGCGUUCAAUUGGAGAUGGAUCGGCCUGGGAUCGAGGCUAAGACUGAUAGAGCACAUUCACCCCGUGCAUUGUGCAUUGAGCUUCAUCGCACAGCAGCAAACAGAUUACGGUAACUCGAGUCUUGUUUGGAGAGGUUCGCCCUUUCGGAAUCACUUAUUGUAGAACUGCAUAUGAAACCCAAAAGUAUUGUGGAAACUGCACUCACCUUGCACUUGUUUCGAAGAAGACACUAUCAAUAAACUUGUCAGGACUGGGAGCCAAGUAAAAAAAUAAUAAGGGUCGACUCUUCUGCACUGGAGAGAGAAUUGAAGUUUGUUUGGAUGCCUGUACUACAUGUAUACCAUUUUGCAGAUCUAGAUUUGCUGACUCUGCAGUUUUGAUUGUACUUUGCAGAUUGAUUUACUCAUAGAUAUAAGAAGAGCCUAUACAGUUUUGAUUAUCUGCAAAAUUUGCAGAUUGAUUGCUAUAAUAUUAAGCCUGCAGUUUUGAUAUGCAUUUUACAGAUUGACUUGUACACUCCACAGUUUUAGUUUUCGUCACAUUACAGGAAUACACUGACACACACCAUAGACAGUAGCAUACACACAUGCAGACACUUUACCAUAUUCCUG